rnacentral:tRNA from 1 species
GCGGGCGUGGUGGAAUUGGUAGACACAAGGGACUUAAAAUCCCUCGGCGCUAGCCUUGCGGGUUCGAUUCCCGCCGCCCGCA